CUACGGGCCGCUCCAGUGAGGAAUAUUGCACAAUGGGGGGAACCCUGAUGCAGCAACGCCGCGUGGAGGAUGACGCAUUUCGGUGUGUAAACUCCUUUUAUAUGUCAAGAAAAUGACGGUAGCAUAUGAAUAAGCACCGGCUAACUCCGUGCCAGCAGCCGCGGUAAUACGGAGGGUGCAAGCGUUACUCGGAAUCACUGGGCGUAAAGGACGCGUAGGCGGGGUGGAAAGUCAGGUGUGAAAUCCUAUAGCUUAACUGUAGAACUGCACUUGAAACUUCUAAUCUAGAGUAUGGGAGGGGGAGAUGGAAUUAGUGGUGUAGGGGUAAAAUCCGUAGAUAUCACUAGGAAUACCUAAAGCGAAGGCGAUCUCCUGGAACAUUACUGACGCUAAGGCGUGAAAGCGUGGGGAGCAAACAGGAUUAGAUACCCCAGUAGUC
rnacentral:rRNA from 1 species